rnacentral:misc_RNA from 1 species
UUCUCGUUUUUAAUCACAAGAUCGUAACACUAUUCCAAAUUUCCCAAUCAAAAUGUGUUACGGCGGUCAACGAUUACCGUCAAAAGACGACUUAACCGACCCGACCCGACGGACCCGAACUUUACCGGCGGCGAACGAGAACGCAGUGGUGGUUGAAAAUCUUCGGGACCGGUUAGCUGAGACGGAGGCGCGGCUGGAACGAGCUAGGGCUCGGGAAGCGGAGCUGAGCCGGCAGCUGGAAGAGAUGAAGAGGUACGUCUGCGUUAUGGAAAUUCUGGAAUGUUACCUCAAGCGCCGAUACAGGGAACAGCAAGUUAGAACCCUAGCAGUGGUAAAUUCGAAGUAAAGAUGAUUUUUAUGUGGUUAAAAUGGAUUAUUAGGGUUUCGUGAUUUAUGUAAUCAUGUGUGUUGUAAUUGUAUAUUCUUCAGUGUGAUAUAGAAUUGUUAAUCUAUUGAACUUGAAAUACUCUUCAAUUUUAUUGUUCUACGUGUUAAGCUUGAUGUUAAUCUGGAUUAGAAAUUUCAAAUAGUGGAGCUAAGCAGUAUAGUAAUUUAUGGUAAGGGAAGUUCCUCGAGGUCGAGGAGCUGAAUGUAAAUUUGUUGUGCAAUGGCUUGCUG